AAGUAGUAUAGUAAGGCCGAUCCUGGCUCACUUUACAUUGAAAAGUGCCAUAUGAUUGAAGUGUUAGCGUUUCAAGGUCAAAGUGGUGUUGAAGGUCAAAGUGGUAUUGCGUAAGUGGGGGGGUGGGUGGAUUUCAAGGUCGAGUGUUGAGAAGAAAGGGGUGUAUUGUUUGUGUUCUUUGGAGGGGGGUGGUGGUGUCGGUUCAAGGCCGUUGGUAAGAGGGGGUGAUGGCUGAGGUCAUUGGAUUUCAAGGUCGAUUGGUGAAAACAAAGGGGUGUAUUGUUUGUGUUCUUCGGAGGCUUCAAGGUCAUGUGUGGGGAUGUGUCUGUCUGAAAGAAUGCGUGCCGAUGCUGGCUCACUUGAAGGUCAAAUCGAUUUUGGGUCGAAGCUGAAUGCGUGGCGAUCCUGGCUCACUUUCAAGGUCGUAUCGAUGCAUUGGUGUUCAAGGUCAUGUGGGGGUGUGUCCGUCUGAAAGAAUGCGUGCCGAUGCUGGCUCACUUGAAGGUCAUAUCGAUUUUGGGUCGAAGCUGAAUGCGUGGUGAUCCUGGCUCACUUUCAAGGUCGUAUCGAUCCUGGCCCACUUAGCAUUGAAGAAUAUAUGAAUAAAGUGUUGGUGUUCAAGGUGAAAUUGGUGUGGUGUUGCGUGGUCGUUUCAAGGUUUUUGGAUUUCAAGGUCGAUUGCUGAGAGUGUUAAGGGGGGGGUAUUGUGUGUGAUCAAAUUGUUUUUCCUGAAGGCGAUUGGAUUUCAAGGUCGGACGCUGAGAACAAAGGGGGGUUUAAUGUUUGUGUUCUUCUGGGGGAUGGGGUGCCACUGGCGGUGCCAGUUCAGCGCUGAGAGUGUAAAAAAUGGGUUGCGUAAUUUUUCGGCUGCCGUCUCAAGAUUGAGGGUAAAACGUAAUUAUUCUUCUUGCCGGCUUCGUAUCUCAAAGGCCGAGAGCGCGCCGGGCGUCGAGAGAACAAAGGGUGUAUUGUUUGUGGUCAAGGUCAAACGUGGUGCAAUUCUUAGGCUAUCGAGGGAUGGUUUGCGACUUGGAGAGUGGGGGGUGUAAUAUAAGAGGAGAUGUCAAGAGUAAUUGUUCAUCAUCAUCAUCAGCAGCAGCAGCAGCGGCAGAAACGGAAAGCUGGUAAAGAAAAUUAGAAAAUUAAAGUGGGAUGUGGAAAUUUUGGGUUGUCGGCGCAGUAUGGAAAAAUUGAUGUUGGGAGGCCUACUGGCGAUUUGUGGUGAAUAUGUGGCGAACGGCUGUUGAAUGCCUUCAUCAAACCUUAUUGGUAUUACUAUCUGAUGCUGAGCAUGAGGCGGUGUAUGGACCUGAGACUUUUAGGGAACAGUGUCAAAACAUUGCCCAAAGGUAUGAGUUGGGGAUUGAAAUAUGUAGACGCUUUUUAAAUUAUAAAAUAUCCGUUUAUUGCCUUAUGAACGGACUAAACGUGGCUCAGUUGGGUGAAUACAUAAUAUGGCGAUGAAGAAAGUGACAUUUGACGAUAGUAACAAUCGCGUGUAUGUGCUGAUCGCGUGGUCAUGUGCAUAUAAUGAAGCGCGAAAAGGGCCUUGGAUAGAUUUCGCUUUAGUAGGAAAAUAGAGCAAUUUUGUAAGAUAUUGUCUCUCGUCUUAGCAGAAAAUCAUCGAUCAUCGGUUUAUCGCACUAGAUUUCAUGGUCAACAUCAGACCGCAAUAUAAUGGUAUAUAUCGCACUGGAUUUCAAGGCCACCAUACAGCAAUGUAAUGGUUUAUCGCACUCUAGAUUUCAAGGUCAUCAGCCAGCAAUAUAAUGGUGGUAGAAAACGGUGCCUGGAAUCAGUCGAAUAGUGUUGACUAAUCAGUUAAAAUGGAUCUUAAUCGACUCAACAGUAGCACCUACUGCAAACCUUUCAAGAACGUCAAGGAUAUGAAGGUUGGUGAAAAGUAUAAAGUGAUUGGUAUCGAUCUAAUCAAUACCAAGUAUGGCGAUCGAAUACUGAUCGAUACUGAGAACUUUAAGUGCAUCCUUCCUUUGCGCUUUUAUGAGUACUUCAAGAGCGACAACUGUCUGCAGAUCUUCAAGGACUUCUUGUCCAGGGAAGAAGUCUUUAUAACAAGCGCUGGAACGGCGGGGAAGACUACUAAUUUAACAUUUAUGUAAAAAAGUUGUAAAUGAGAGAGAGAGAGAGAGAAAUAAUAAAUGUUGUUCACGAGAGAGAAAUUGGGUCUCUUAUUUAAAUGCACAUCCCACUCUCGAGAUCAUCUCAACGAAAAAAAGGCUCCAAAAUGUGGUGACGAGGAUGAGGGCGACGAUGACAACAUCUAUCGCGAUAUUGAAGAUGUGUUAAACUAUAAGUUUAACGUAAAUUCUCACAAUACAGUUUGCAAGAUGGAAUUAUUAUACUAUCGACCUACUUAUUUUAUGUAUCACAUAUGUCAAUAAACGUACUCUAUUUGAGCAUUUUUUUUUAUUUGAUGGAGGCAACUUCUUGCCACACUUCAACAAUGUUGAGUCGGAAGCGGAAGUGUACGGAUGGGAGUGGCUUGGUUAAUAAUCUCAUAAACAAACUUCCAGUGGAACUACAUAUUCCUGGCUAUCAGUAUUGCGGACCUGGUACUAAAUUAGAUAAAAGGCUAAAGCGAGGCGAUCCCGGCAUAAAUCCCCUAGACGCUCAGUGUAAAGAGCUCGACAUUUUUUUUAAAUAAACAGCUUUCAAAAUAAACAGGCUGUUCCCCCUGUUUGUUUACCUGUUUCCCUUGAUCGCAUCAUCAUGGAUACUAAAGAGAUGGCCUUGAAACGACGAAUAGUUCAAGCGCGUAAAGUACAAUCGUCACAAAGCGGAUCGUUUUAUUAAAGAAGUGGAGUUUGUACGAACGUAUAAACCGCUAAUUCAACCGCUAUCCCAGAUCGUUAAGAAAAUCGAACCGCCGUUAAGGUCAUAUCGAUUUUGGCUCACUCAAAGCUUAAUGGGUGCCGAUCCUGGUUGACUUUCAAGGCCAUGCGGUGUUUGUCUGUCGAGUGUAGUUUCAAGUUUGAGAACAAAAAUGUUGUAUUGUUUUCGGGUGAUCAAGGCGACUUAAGAAUGGGUGUGGUUUAAACUAAUAUAUAAGUGUUUGUUGUAAUGGGUCUUUGCUCUGAAUAAUUCAAUAAUAGGCGAGAUGUCAAGAGCCAUUGUCCAUCAUCAUCAUCCACAGCAGCAGCACCGACAUCAUCUUUGCAAUGCAAUGGGGAAAAAAGAAUUGACGAACUGUUACUGAAAAUUAGAAAAUUAAAGUGGGAUGUUGAAAUGCUGGGUUGUCAGCGGCUCAGCGCCGUAUGAAAAAACUGAUUUUGUAGUGAUGCUUGGACGUAUUCAAACUUUCAUACAGUAGCAGUUAAGGCAAGGAUUAUUUCUUUGUGUGAUGAGACAAUGGCAUAAAUAAGACGAUGAUGGUUAUUCUUGUGUAUCAAUUAAGACAAUUUGUACUUAUGUAAAGUUUGAGUAUUAAAAAAGAAUGUAUAAAGGGUGCUUAUUCAUUUUGCCCUGACAUUCUUCCUUUAGAACCAAUUUGUACGUGGUAUGAUCAAACACGCUUAUUUCUUGUGUAGGAAUUGCGAGCGAGAGGGUUAAAAAAGUUUGGGGAUUGGUGUUUAAUGAACGCUCAAUUUUUAAAACGAGUACACUGUACCUACCGUGAAUAGACGUUCUGCUUGGUAUCGCGCAUUUGGUAAAAAUAGAAAAUUAUCAGCUCGCAUUAUGUCGACUUGCGUAUGCACUCAUUUCAUUGCACAGUGAUAUUCGCCGAUUCGCGAUGUGUUGUGGAAAAUAAUUUUGGUGUUUCUUUGUGAUAAUGAUUAAUUCGAUUAGUAUUCUCACUCGAACUCAGGUUUUCAUCUUGAAGCCGUGGUGCAGCCAAUUCCCGUUCUAAACGCUCCGUCUGGAGUUGGGAAUUUCUUUGUCUGGCCUGGAAAAUUGUCAGCAUCUUCUCCAGACACCCCAUUGAUAACAUCGCCAGCUCUUGGGGUGUGGACGGCUCGUGCCAUCUGGGCGAUUCAUGAGAUGGCGGCGGCGGUGGUGGUGGUGGCGCCUCUUCUUGGUCGAUGGCUGCUGAAGACGGCGGCGAGACGUGUUCAUAAAAUUCUCUUAGUAAUUGCAUAUCUUUUUCCCCCCUAGGCAACGGGGCACUGUAACAAUAAGAGAAACAAUAUUAAAAAUAGAUUAUAUGUAUAAUAAAAGUAACUUACUGAAAGUGAUUGUUGCCGCCGUUAUUUACAGGUAGCUGUAGUGGUAAAUUUGGUUGUUGUUGUUGAGCUGGAUUAUUUCUGUAACGUAACAUUAGAAUAAGUAUUUCCACAUAAACGGAGGUACAGUAAUGAGUAAACUUACGGAAAUUGAUGCAUGUCCCCCAUCGCGGAUUGUGGAUGUAAAGCUACCAUUUCUGACGGCUGCGUUUGAGUAUUUGCCUGGGGUAGCGGCGCAGGAAUUAUAAUAUGCUCCAAUAUUUGUACUGAUGGAUACUGGCUGUCUGUAAAACAUAUAUGUAUUAGAAAUUUUAUUUUUUCGUGAA